GUGCCAGCGCGGUAAGACAGAGGGUGCAAACGUUGCUCGGAAUCACUGGGCGUAAAGGGCGUGUAGGCGGGAAGGAAAGUCAGAUGUGAAAUCCCUGGGCUCAACCCAGGAACUGCAUUUGAAACUCCCUUUCUUGAGUGUCGGAGAGGAAAGCGGAAUUCCUGGUGUAGAGGUGAAAUUCGUAGAUAUCAGGAGGAACACCGGUGGCGAAGGCGGCUUUCUGGACGACAACUGACGCUGGAGACGCGAAAGCGUGGGGAGCAAACAGG
rnacentral:rRNA from 1 species